CCAUGCCGUAAACGUUGGGAACUAGAUGUGGGGACCAUUCCACGGUCUCCGUGUCGCAGCUAACGCAUUAAGUUCCCCGCCUGGGGAGUACGGCCGCAAGGCUAAAACUCAAAGGAAUUGACGGGGGCCCGCACAAGCGGCGGAGCAUGCGGAUUAAUUCGAUGCAACGCGAAGAACCUUACCAAGGCUUGACAUAUAGAGGAAACGUCUGGAAACAGUCGCCCCGCAAGGUCUCUAUACAGGUGGUGCAUGGUUGUCGUCAGCUCGUGUCGUGAGAUGUUGGGUUAAGUCCCGCAACGAGCGCAACCCUCGUCCUAUGUUGCCAGCACGUAAUGGUGGGAACUCAUGGGAUACUGCCGGGGUCAACUCGGAGGAAGGUGGGGAUGACGUCAAAUCAUCAUGCCCCUUAUGUCUUGGGCUUCACGCAUGCUACAAUGGCCGGUACAAAGGGCUGCAAUACCGCAAGGUGGAGCGAAUCCCAAAAAGCCGGUCUCAGUUCGGAUUGAGGUCUGCAACUCGACCUCAUGAAGUCGGAGUCGCUAGUAAUCGCAGAUCAGCAACGCUGCGGUGAAUACGUUCCCGGGCCUUGUACACACCGCCCGUCAAGUCAUGAAAGUCGGUAACACCCGAAGCCAGUGGCCUAACCCGCAAGGGGAGGAGCUGUCGAAGGUGGGAUCGGUGAUUAGGACUAAGUCGUAACAAGGUAACC
rnacentral:rRNA from 1 species